rnacentral:rRNA from 1 species
CGUGUAGGCGGGUAUAUAAGUCAGAAGUGAAAUCCUAUAGCUUAACUAUAGAACUGCUUUUGAAACUGUAUACCUAGAAUGUGGGAGAGGUAGAUGGAAUUUCUGGUGUAGGGGUAAAAUCCGUAGAGAUCAGAAGGAAUACCGAUUGCGAAGGCGAUCUACUGGAACAUUAUUGACGCUGAGAUGCGAAAGCGUGGGGAGCAAACA